UUCUCUUUUAUAGUUUUUUUCAUAAUGCGAAUUCCUUGGUCUUGUGUAGCCUCUCCCUUGUGGAAUCAGAUAAAAGACCUUGGUUGAAUCCCAAAUGGCAUCCUAUUUGCUACGUAGAGCCCCAUGUCCUGGGGAGAGAGCCCAGCCCUGGAGGUAGCUAUGUCCUGGGGAGAGAGACCAGCCCUGGAGGUAGCUAUGUCCUGGGGAGAGACCAGCCCUGGAGGUAGCUAUGUCCUGGGGAGAGACCAGCCCUGGAGGUAGCUAUGUCCUGGGGAGAGAGCCCAGCCCUGGAGGUAGCUAUGUCCUGGGAAGAGACCAGCCCUGGAGGUAGCUAUGUCCUGGGGAG
rnacentral:lncRNA from 1 species